UACGUAGGGCGCAAGCGUUGUCCGGAAUUAUUGGGCGUAAAGAGCUCGUAGGCGGUCUGUUACGUCUGCUGUGAAAACCCAGGGCUUAACCCUGGGCUUGCAGUGGAUACGGGCAGACUAGAGGCAGGUAGGGGAGAAUGGAAUUCCUGGUGUAGCGGUGAAAUGCGCAGAUAUCAGGAGGAACACCGGUGGCGAAGGCGGGUCUCUGGGCAACAACUGACGCUGAGGAGCGAAAGCGUGGGGAGCGAACAGG
rnacentral:rRNA from 1 species